rnacentral:antisense_RNA from 1 species
UCUUAUGAUAGGGCUUGUGGGAGUAUCGCAAGAUACGCUGUUUACCUAUGUUACAGUACGCCAAUCCUGCAAGUCCUAUCGCCCUA